UGUUAUAAAACUUAUACACUACUUAUUACCACAAAACACAGAUCAAGUUUGAAUUUUACUCCCGUCACUGUAACCGUUCUUGAGUUACAUGUAUUUAUGCUCCUUUAUUAUAAAAUGGAAAAAAUUGCCAAAUCUUUGGUGGAUCCGACAAACUUUUGUAUACAGAUUUUAUUUAUUUAGAUAUGAUUUACAAACUUCAGAAAAGGUUGAGAAGCAUUUCAAUUCUAGGGCAUUCCAACCUGAAGCAAGUUGUACCAAUGGAAUUGAUGGAAGCCCCCAUUAGAACACUGUGCAUAACUGUGGUUGCAACUUCACCAUCUGAUACAGCAUCUAGUUCAUCAAAGAUGACCUAAGCUGAAGUGGUGAGACUUCCUCUGCAUGCAACAGGUCAUACCAAACUAAAACCACGUUUGAUAAUAAGUGUAUGGAAAUGAAGAAAUCAAUUGGAGUCCCUACAUUUAAAAGGAGGAGUGUGUCUUCAGUUGAGAUUGGUAGAAAAAAAGAAAAAAACAGUUAGGACUCAAUACAGGGUAAAGACGAGUGAUCUAGUGUUUGGGGUCACCGAGGAUGUGGCUGUUGUCCUACCAAACAAAGCUUAACUGGAACAUAGUUUUUAUCAGGCAGAAUUCAGACAGACAGAUAUUCGUCAUUUCAGAUACCAAAUAAAGAAAAUGCUGUUGAGGAACAGGGGAGUUUCUGUGAUUAGAAUGAUACACAAAGAGCAUUUGAGUGUGAUGAAGUUGAGAGUAGUAUUUUAACCAAAAGAACAUCUGCCUUAACAACAGUGAAGGUUUUAGCGAGCAGGUGCUAUUUGGUGAUGUUGAAAGAAAUCCAGGACCUACAAUGGUUUAUCAAGACAAAUCUUAGUGCUUGCCAUACAAGUGUCAAAGAGUGAAGGGCAAGAACAAUUUUAAAGAACAGAGAAGACUUGUUUUAUUGCACUUAGUUUUGAGUUUUUGUUUUAUAUUUUACCACUAUGAUAGAG